CAAAUCUCAGGUUUGGGGGGUUUCCCCCCAUUUUCACCUGCAGGGAUUUGUCCUUGUGCGGGUGGGAAAUGGUUCCCCCCAGUGAUUUCUGAACUGGGCAGAGGGUGAAUGGGCAGAGGCUGGGGGGGCCCUGAGACAGGGACGCCUCUGGGCUGGGCUGGGGGGGCCCCUCUCUGCUGGCAACAGGGCGUGGAAAGUGACCUGCAGACUCCAGCCUCACUCCGUUCCCAGGGCUCCCUGCUGUCCGUGUGAAUGUGAGGCAAGAAGAAUCCAUCCCGUUCUGUUGUUGAUUGAAUUUUGCUGUAUAAUCCCCUCAAAUUUCUAAUCUUUUCUCUUGAACUGUUGAGUGGUAACACAAAACUUCCCCAGAUGUUCGUCCUUCUCUCUUAUAUUGGCAAAUAUUUAGUUUCUCCUCAGUUCUGAAAUAUUGAUACCAAAUGCUUAAAAAUCUUCCUGCUUUUUUCUCCAGGUGUCCUUGCCUUGCCUGAGAUUAGGUCCUGCCGUUUGUAGGCACUGCACAAACCCUAACCAAGUUUGGGGCAGUGCCUGUGCCAGGAAUUGCACAGACCCCUACAGAGAGCAGGGAUCUUGUUGUGCCGGGUGCUACAGUGACCGUGACUGAGCUCCUGGCCCCUGUUGUGCCAGGCCCUGCAUAAAGACCAAGUGAAAUCAGGCUCCCGUUGUGGCAGGUGCUGCAGAGACAACAAACAAAAUCAGGGAUCUUCUUGUUCCAGGAGCUGCAGAGCCCCCAACUGAGAUCUGGACCCUGUUCUGCUAGGCACUGCGGAGACCCCAAUUGAGAUCUGGGCCCUGUUCUGCCAGGUGCUGCAGAGACCCCAACAGAGGUCGGAUCCCACUGUUGUGACAGGUGCUGUGGAGACCGCAGCUGACAUCAGGCCCCCCCAUUGUGCCAGGCUACAGAAUAAUGUCCAGGUUUCACUCCAGAUCCACCCAGGGGGAAGGAAAUGGCUGCAAUGGAGCUGGCUCAGGUGCUUCAGGAGUUCUCUUGUGUGGGGAAAUGAGGCCAAGAGAUGAUGUCACACCCCACCUUAUGUAGCUUUUCCAUAUGGCAGGAACCCUUUGUUCUAACUCAGUUCCCAGUCCAGUUUGUGGAAAAAUACAGGUACCAAAAUGAAGUUCAUUGUCAUGUGGUCUGUCACAUGCCCUAGCAUGCCCUGCUGAGUCAUAGUAGCCAUGACUCCUAGGCUGGCUGAACGUUCCAGGAGCUAAGCUCUUCCACAGUCCAUUCUUUGUUGAUGACCAUGAACACUGUCUGGCUUCUCAUGUUGUACCUGAAAGCUCGUGUGGCUGUUACCCAGAGUAAGCACAUUUGAAGACAGAUACAGAGUCAAUAUCCGUAACUUCAGAUACAAACAUGAUCCGUGCACACAGGUAGAUAAUCAUAUUCAGCAAUCAUAACUUUUCCAGUGACACCGCACAUGACUCAUCUUGUACAAAAUGCCUCAUGUCCUAAUCAUAUUAUAAUCCUGCACUAUGUUGAAUAUGGGCUGUAGUGUCAGAUAGGUCCUAAUUUCAGCACAGGUGUUGGGAAUGAAACUUCCCCU